rnacentral:tRNA from 2 species
AGGGGUUUAGUUCAGUGGUAGAAUAUUUGUUUUACACUCAAGAGGUGAAAGGUUCGAUUCCUUUAAUCCCUA